ensembl:snRNA LOC120101973 U6 spliceosomal RNA
GUCAAUGUUGUUGGCAGACAUAAAUUAAAACUAGAGCGAUACAGAGAGAUUUUCAUAGUCCCUGCAAGAAGAUGACGAGAACAUUUGUGAAGCAUUUUAUAUUUAU